rfam:Pan troglodytes isolate Yerkes chimp pedigree #C0471 (Clint) chromosome 20, whole genome shotgun sequence.
GCCAGGUGCGGUGGUGCACGCCUGUAGUCCCAGUGAUUCAGGAGGCUGAGGUGGGGGGAUCGCUUGAGCCCAGGUGAUUGAGGCUGUAGUGAGCUAUAUUCGUACUUGUGAAUAGUCAUGGCCUCAGCCUGGGCAACAGAGUGAGACCCUGUCUCUA